AAUAUAGUUGGACAGAUUUCACCCUUCGAAACUGGGCUGGAGUUGACUCCCAUUUCAAAAUCUGCCUUUUCUUCCCAGGUGGGUCCAGCCCCACUCCAAGUCCUGCGAAGCUCCCUCUGAGUCAGCUCUUUCUUCGCCUUCUUGUCCAGCAUGUAUUUUGCUCGACGUGGGUGGUGUUCACUUGUGGAGCAGCUCUUCAGCAGCCUGUGGGAAGCUGAUCGGUCUUCUCAGUGGGGCAGUUUGGGUUCAGGAGGGAUAAUUUAAGACAAAGGCUAUCAGCCGGUUGUCCAUCCUAGGAAAAGUGGUUGAACCCUCCCAGGGGCUGCCUUCCAGUGGAAUGAGGAGCUGCUUGACAUAGGGAUCUUUUCUCGGUUCCUGGCCAGAGCUCCACUCCUGACCACUCCCCAUCAAGCUGGCCAGGAGGUUCCCUUUACCACCUGCCAACACUGAGCGCUCCAAGUGAUUCAGCUUGCCUUCCUGCUGACAGCUAAGCUGCAUCCCUCAAGCCCUGGAUCAACCCAUCACGUCACCGAGGAGGUUUCUUGCAAGAGCAUCAUCCGCUUGGC
ensembl:lncRNA